rnacentral:rRNA from 1 species
AUUGAACGCUGGCGGCAUGCCUUACACAUGCAAGUCGAACGGCAGCACGGGUGCUUGCACCUGGUGGCGAGUGGCGAACGGGUGAGUAAUACAUCGGAACGUACCUUAUCGUGGGGGAUAACGCAGCGAAAGCUGUGCUAAUACCGCAUACGCCCUGAGGGGGAAAGCGGGGGAUCGCAAGACCUCGCGCGAUUAGAGCGGCCGAUGCCUGAUUAGCUAGUUGGUGGGGUAAAAGCCCACCAAGGCGACGAUCAGUAGCUGGUCUGAGAGGACGAUCAGCCACACUGGGACUGAGACACGGCCCAGACUCCUACGGGAGGCAGCAGUGGGGAAUUUUGGACAAUGGGGGCAACCCUGAUCCAGCAAUGCCGCGUGAGUGAAGAAGGCCUUCGGGUUGUAAAGCUCUUUUGUCAGGGAAGAAACACCGGCUCUAACACAGUCCGGGAAUGACGGUACCAGAAGAAUAAGCACCGGCUAACUACGUGCCAGCAGCCGCCGUAA